rnacentral:rRNA from 1 species
AGCGAACGCUGGCGGCAGGCUUAACACAUGCAAGUCGAGCGGGCACUUCGGUGCCAGCGGCAGACGGGUGAGUAACACGUGGGAACGUACCCUUCGGUUCGGAAUAACGCUGGGAAACUAGCGCUAAUACCGGAUACGCCCUUUUGGGGAAAGGUUUACUGCCGAAGGAUCGGCCCGCGUCUGAUUAGCUAGUUGGUGGGGUAAUGGCCUACCAAGGCGACGAUCAGUAGCUGGUCUGAGAGGAUGAUCAGCCACACUGGGACUGAGACACGGCCCAGACUCCUACGGGAAGCAGCAGUGGGGAAUAUUGGACAAUGGGCGCAAGCCUGAUCCAGCCAUGCCGCGUGAGUGAUGAAGGCCUUAGGGUUGUAAAGCUCUUUUGUCCGGGACGAUAAUGACGGUACCGGAAGAAUAAGCCCCGGCUAACUUCGUG